AUCACUAAACUAUUGAAAUAACAACAAAAAAGCCAAAAAAUAUAUUUUAAAGCUAAAUCAACAUUCAAAUAUCCGAUUUAAGGAAUAAAUCAUUUGAAAACUCACCUCCACUGCUGCAUGAAUGCUGAUACAAAACCACCAAACCCAUAAACCACGCAAAUUCACUCAUCUCACCGAACUUCGACUACAACUGCAAUUUCAGAUUACUCCAACUGCAACAGAUUCAGCUUCCGCAUUUCAAACUGUGUUUCAUCGGCAAGCAUCAUCAACAUAAGUAUGGAUGUGUGUAUAUCAACUCUACCAAUACAUGCAUUGAAACUAGUAUCUUCGUGCAUACACUUUCGCUUUACUAUUGCCUAACGCCUCAUAUACGUAAUUGGAUUUUAAGCGUAGCAAAAUUACUAAAAAGAAAAUAAAAUGUAUUCAUGUAAAAAACUGCGAUAAUUUCUAGAAGCCAAUCAAACCGAGGAGACCUUAACGGAUUUGGCACACUCAAGCAUUUUAGUUUUGAAGAAACGGCUGUAGGUUAUUUUUACAUGAAAUCAAACUGUUCGGAAAGCGCUUAUAUCAUUACGUGAAAAAAUUACAAAACCUAUGGAAACUCAC